rnacentral:rRNA from 1 species
AUAUCAAUAAGCGGAGGAAAAGAAACUAACCAGGAUUCCCCUAGUAGCGGCGAGCGAACCGGGAAGAGCCCAAAUUUAAAAUCUCCAGCUUUCAGCUGGCGAAUUGUAGUCUCUAGAGGCAUUAUCUUCAGCUAGCCGAUCCAAAGUUCCCCUGGAAAGGGACGUCCAAGAGGGUGAGAACCCCGUAGGUGAGGUGAAGCUGUAUCACGAUGUGCUUUCGCAGAGUCGGGUUGCUUGGGAAUGCAGCCCAAAGUAGGUGGUAAAUCCCAUCUAAGGCUAAAUACUGGCGGGAGACCGAUAGUGAACAAGUACCGUGAGGGAAAGAUGCAAAGAACUUUGAAAAGAGAGUUAAAAGUGCUUGAAAUUGUUGAGGGGGAAGGGAUUGGAAGGCUAAUGUGUGUUCUUGGGUUUGAUACAGGCAGUUCUGCCUGUUGAUGCGCCAUGAAGCCUGCCAGCAUCGGCUCGGCAGCCGGGACAAAAGCUGCUUAUGUACGCAGUCUAUGCCGGCUGCUGGGCCGAGGAUAAAGGGCGCUCUCUGAGUCCUUCGGGAACGGCGCCCUCUGGAUGCUGGCUUUACGCUCCAAUCUGCCCGUCUUGAAACACGGACCAAGGAGUCUAACAUGUAGCGAGCCGGUGGGUUUAACACCCAUGAGACGCAAGUAACCUGACUGGUGGGAUGGGUAAAACCUGCACCAUCGACCGACCAUGAUCUUCUGUGAAAGGUUUGAGUAAGAGCAUGCCUGUUGGGACCCGAAAGAUGGUGAACUAUGCCUGAGCAGGGCGAACGCAGAGGAAACUCUGGUGGAGGCUCGUAGAUGUGCUGACGUGCAAAUCGCUUUUCGGACUUGGGUAUAGGGGCGAAAGACUAAUCGAACCAUCUAGUAGCUGGUUCCCUCCGAAGUUUCCCCCAGGAUAGCUGGAGCUUGUGCAGUUUUAUCGGGUAAAGCGAAUGAUUAGAGGUACCGGGGAUGAAACAUCCUCGACCUAUUCUCAAACUUUAAAUAGGUAAGACGUAAUGGUUACUUAACUGAACCGUGGCAGUCAAUGAGAGCUCCAAGUGGGCCAUUUUUGGUAAGCAGAACUGGCGAUGCGGGAUGAACCGAAAGCCGGGUUAAGGCGCCAAAUUGCGCGCUAACCUAGAUCCCACAAAGGGUGUUGAUUGAUAUAGACAGCAGGACGGUGGUCAUGGAAGUCGAAACCCGCUAAGGAGUGUGUAACAACUCACCUGCCGAAUCAAUUAGCCCCGAAAAUGGAUGGCGCUGAAGCGCGCAGCCUAUACCCGGCCAUGGCGCAAGUGCGAAGCGCCAUGAGUAGGAGGGCGUGGA